rnacentral:rRNA from 1 species
AAUAGAUACCCGGGUAGUCCACGCCGUAAACGAUGAGUGCUAGGUGUUAGGGGGUUUCCGCCCCUUAGUGCUGCAGCUAACGCAUUAAGCACUCCGCCUGGGGAGUACGGUCGCAAGACUGAAACUCAAAGGAAUUGACAGGGGCCCGCACAAGCGGUGGAGCAUGUGGUUUAAUUCGAAGCAACGCGAAGAACCUUACCAGGUCUUGACAUCCCGCUGACCGCCAUGGAGACAUGGCCUUCCCUUCGGGGACAGCGGUGACAGGUGGUGCAUGGUUGUCGUCAGCUCGUGUCGUGAGAUGUUGGGUUAAGUCCCGCAACGAGCGCAACCCUUGUCCUUAGUUGCCAUCAUUCAGUUGGGCACUCUAAGGAGACUGCCGUACAAAUACGGAGGAAGGUGGGGAUGACGUCAAAUCAUCAUGCCCCUUAUGACCUGGGCUACACACGUGCUACAAUGGGUGGUACAAAGGGCGGCAAACCCGCGAGGGGGAGCGAAUCCCAAAAAGCCACUCUCAGUUCGGAUUGCAGGCUGCAACUCG